GUUGGUGAACCAGCGGAGGGAUCAUUACUGAGUUAUCCAACUCCCAAACCCCUGUGAACAUACCUAUGUUGCUUCGGCGGGUCGUCCCGCGGCGCGCCCUCGUGGCGUGACCCGGACCCAGGCGCCCGCCGGGGAACCAAACUCUUGUCUUCCAGUGUCUCCUCUGAGUGGCAUAAGCAAAAAUAAACAAAACUUUCAGCAACGGAUCUCUUGGUUCUG
rnacentral:misc_RNA from 1 species